rnacentral:rRNA from 1 species
GUGGGGAAUAUUGCGCAAUGGGCGAAAGCCUGACGCAGCAACGCCGCGUGCGGGAUGACGGCCUUCGGGUUGUAAACCGCUUUCAGCAGGGACGAAGGGUUUCUGACGGUACCUGCAGAAGAAGCACCGGCUAACUACGUGCCAGCAGCCGCGGUGAUACGUAGGGUGCGAGCGUUGUCCGGAAUUAUUGGGCGUAAAGAGCUUGUAGGCGGUCCGUUGCGUCGGAAGUGAAAACUCGGGGCUUAACCCCGAGCCUGCUUUCGAUACGGGCGGACUUGAGGGAUGUAGGGGAGAACGGAAUUCCUGGUGGAGCGGUGGAAUGCGCAGAUAUCAGGGGGAACACCAGUGGCGAAGGCGGUUCUCUGGACAGUUCCUGACGCUGAGAAGCGAAAGCGUGGGGAGCAAACAGGCUUAGAUACCCGAGUAGUCC